rnacentral:rRNA from 1 species
CUCAGUUCGGAUUGGAGUCUGNAACCCGACUCCAUGAAGCUGGAUUCGCUAGUAAUCGCGCAUCAGCCACGGCGCGGUGAAUACGUUCCCGGGCCUUGUACACACCGCCCGUCAAGCCAUGGAAGCCGGGAGUGCCUGAAGUACGCGACCGCAAGGAGCGUCCUAAGGUAAAACCGGUGACUGGGGCUAAGUCGUAACAAGGUACC